UAAUAGCGUAUACUUAAGUUGUUGCAGUUAAAACGCUCGUAGUCGGAAUUUGGCAGUUCCGGAAGUGUGCACGUCGUGUGCGCACUUUGCGGGGACUGCUUUUGUGGUCUUGCGUAGGAUGAGGCACUUUCAUUAGUGAACGUCCUCACGCAACCACUCUUUACUGUGAGAAAAUCAGAGUGCUCAAAGCAGGCAUUUGCCGUGAAUGUAUUAGCAUGGAAUAAUAGAAUAGGACUCGGUUCUAUUUUGUUGGUUUGUUGGGACUGAGUAAUGAUUAAGAGGGACAGUUGGGGGCAUUUGUAUUCCGGCGCUAGAGGUGAAAUUCUUAGAUUGCCGGAAGACAAACUGCUGCGAAAGCGUCUGCCAAGGAUGUUUUCAUUGA
rnacentral:rRNA from 1 species